GACGAACGCUGGCGGCGUGCUUAACACAUGCAAGUCGAACGGAAAGGCCUCUUUCGUGUGGUACUCUCGUGGCGCACGGGUGAGUAACACGUGAGUAACCCGUCCUCUUCUUUGUGAUAACUUCUGGAAACUGGGGGUAUAACCGGAUAUGAGCUCCUCCUGUAUGGUGGGGGGUGGGAAUUUUCGGCGGUUUGGGGGGGGAUCGCGGCUUUUCCGCUUUUUGGUGUGGUAGUGGGUUAUCAAGGCUUUGACGGGUAGCCGGACUGAGAGGGUGAACGGGCACAUUGGGACCGAGAUAACGCCCAGACUCCUAACGGAAGCAACAGUGGGGAAUAUUGCACCAUGGGUGGAAGGCCGAUGCAGCAAAGCCGUGUGCGGGAUGAACGCCUUCGGGGUGGAAAACGGCUUCGCUCAUGAAGGAACCUUGUGUGACGGUAAUGGGUAAAGAAGCACCGGCUAACUACGUG
rnacentral:rRNA from 1 species